rnacentral:pre_miRNA from 1 species
GAUUUCAAAUGGAAAAGNCAUAAACANCAAAGUUGUACAACNUAUCAAGAUCUACAACUUUUAUNUUGGUCACUUCUUCAUCCGACAAAGUGAUAGUACCAAUGUUUACAAAAUUGACAUAUCUGUGUUGAUGUUUAUAAACCAGAUGAGAGAAAUGUGAUUUUUGUGAAUAAUAUAAUUGUCAUUUUGUCGGAUGAAGAAGUGACCAAAAUAAAAGUUGUAGAUCUUAAUAAGUUGUACAAGUUUGCUGUUUAUGGCUUUUCCAAUUGAAAUC